UACGGGGGGAGCAAGCGUUGUUCGGAUUUACUGGGCGUAAAGGGCGCGUAGGCGGCCAGCACAAGUCAGUUGUGAAAUCUCCGGGCUUAACUCGGAAAGGUCAACUGAUACUGUGCGGCUAGAGUGCAGAAGGGGCAACUGGAAUUCUCGGUGUAGCGGUGAAAUGCGUAGAUAUCGAGAGGAACACCUGCGGCGAAGGCGGCUCACUGGCUCGUAACUGACGCUCAGGCGCGAUAGCGUGGGGAUCAAACAGG
rnacentral:rRNA from 1 species